CUGGACUUAAUAAUAGUCAAGAAGCAGCUCUGUUUCAAGAUUUGACAGCAAAAGAAGGCGAACCUAUCUCCAAAGUAAGUAUAUGUGUUGAAAUCAUGUUGAACCUACCUAAAAGUAAUCAUUUCAACACUUGGCAGAUAAUGGACUCUAAAUUUCUAAUUCUAAUCAAAAGAGACAGAUAUGGGAUUUCACAAUUGUUACUUUAAAGUCUAACAAAUAUAGAAGAUUAUCCCGAUUAAACCAGAGUGAGAAGGAAACCUGUUAUACUAAGUUCACAUGGGAUAUACAGGAAAAAAUAUUAGUUCACAUAGGAUAUAUGUAUAAAGGCUAGUUUGAGGAGAUUAUGUAGAAAGGAAAAAUGGGGACCACUCAAUAAAUCGGAGAUUAUGACAAAUACAUUUAGAUAUGCCAAGAAUACGUUUAUAUAACCAAAGAACGCACCUAUUGGGCUAGAAAAUAGUUUCAAUGACUUAUAUAACCAGUAUUUACUAGUCAUUAAACUAAAAAACACAGAAGUUAAUGUAUGCAGAGAAAGAAUGACUAGUAAGCAAAACAUAAACACCUUAUUCAUGCUCAAAUAUGAAAUAAGAGAAUCAAUGAUAUUCAUUUCAGAUUACAACUCUUAAGUGAUAAUCACUGAAUAAUCCAAGAUAAACCACAAGUAAAUAUUACUAUCUAAAACUAAAUACACAAACAGAUUGUUCUCAAACACUAAACAAGCACAAGCUUCAUCUCUUUCACUAAAUCCCUAAAUCAAUCUUCUCAAACACUUAACAUGAACAAGCUUCUUAAACAUUGCAUUUGAUAUUUAUUCUAAAUUUCAGCUAAUGGUGUACCUGCAUUGACAAGACCAGGUCAGCAUUGCCAUCAGACGCAUGAAUAGCUUAAGAUUCUCUGGAUCCUCUUCUCUCAUGAUCAUGUCUCUGGCCCUUGAUUCCUACUGCCCCUCAUCGACAAACAUCAUGACCAAAAUCAUAACAAAAUUCUUGCAUUAAACUUCACCAGCA
rnacentral:lncRNA from 1 species